CUAGCCUUAGUUUAUAAAUUUAGAAUGUGGAUUUUGGGGAUCUUUGGACUUUUAAAAGAGGCUUGA
rnacentral:tRNA from 1 species